UCCUAGAUCAUGCAGACUUAAAAUCAGUUUGGCUGAAAGAACCCACCGAUACCCCCAUAGGGGAUCUUAUGUCCGCAUCGUCUGUAAAAAUACUGCAAUCCUCUAACAUGAUGCACUUCAUUAUCAAAUUUCCCAAAAUAAAAUUAUCUUGUAAGAAGGUCACUAUUUUCCCAGUCGCUUGCAAAGGAGUUAUGCUGCGGAUAACCGACAGCAUGGUAGCAAAGUGUGGUAGUAGUCCACACAAUCAAAAAUUGCAUCCCAGCACCGGGGGCUACCUUUUGCCAACUAUCAACGGAAAGCUCAUGCGCCAGGGAACUACACGCAGGCGUCCUAGCGCAUUGCGAGUCGCAACCAAGCGACCUACACCCGCUCACCAUCAUCAAUGACCGGCCAGCCAGGGUCACGGUAGACAACGAAACAGAAGUCUACCUACGCGGCACACAUCUCAUCACCUUCAACGAUCGCGUCGUGAUAAAUGACACCACCUUUGUAAAUCAUGACAAGGCCCAAACAAGAGCUCCAGGGGUAGCGAAUUCCCCAUCAUUGAAUAUCACCGCCAACAGAGAUAUUCUGAGCCUCCCCUACCUUCACCAGCUAAGUGAACGUAACUUGGAGUUCAUCAAAGAGUUCGGGAGAGAAAUUGAUACUGAUCAUUCUCAUCGCAUAAUAUUUGUCGCAGCAGCGAUUUGUUGUGCAUUGGUAUGUAUCGGCAUCGCCUGUCUACGGUACAUCGGAGCGCGGAGAUCUGCAAUCCAGUUAAACGGGAUGAUCGCCGAAUUAGGACCAACCGAGGACGGCCGUAAUCUUGAAGGGGGAGUAGUUAACACGAGCCAACGAGCUAGACCAGUUGGCUCAGUGCAUGAAACAUAACGUUAAAGUGCUGACCCAGCAUCGGGCCGGAAACCCGUGCGCAGCCGGCAAACACAGCAUAUUUGCGUUGCCGCUGCGAGUCUUUUGUUAGCUGUAAGAUUCAGUUUUAAGUUCAGUUUAUAUUUGACAUUAAUAAAGAGCGGCUGCUCGUCAACCUUAUUACUCCGACUGAACGUCGUAAAAUAUAUUUGUAUUAAUUACUCUGCCAGACCACAAGGCUGGCAGCUAAAAGAGGAAAGUUCCUCUCAACAUAAAAUCUGUGACUGCAGCGAGGGAUCCCCCCUGCCACCCCCAACUUUAAUUACAUAUACACCCAAGUGACAAAAACAACAUUUCAGAAUAAGUAACUAUGGCCGCACAGUGUUGCCAUUUAACGAAUAUUUUAAUCUUACGUGGUGAAAGUCUUUUCCAAGUACCCAACAAUUUAAUUAUGGAAUCACAGAAAACAAUUAUGGGUAAGAAAGGAUGGCAGCGGCAUCGAAAUUUUAAAUGAAAUUACUCCAAACCCAAGUGGAAAGGCGAGCAAUGUUGGUAUCGGAAACGAUUCUGCAGUUAUAGAUAAAUAUCAACCAAUUUAAAGCAUUUACAUCCAUUUGUUAUUUGAACAAUCGGUUGCUAACGAUUCUUAAGUUGUAAUUUAUGUUGAUUAUAUAUUUAUGUAUUUUUA